rnacentral:misc_RNA from 3 species
AACGCACCUUGCGCUCCUUGGUAUUCCGAGGAGCAUGCCUGUUUGAGUGUCAUUAAUAUAUCAACCUCUUCAGCUUUUGCUUGUCGAGAUGGUUGGAUGUGGGGGGUGUUUUGCUGGCCUUUUUUGAGGUCAGCUCCCCUGAAAUGCAUUAGCGGAACAAUUUGUCGACUCCGUUCAUUGGUGUGAUAACUAUCUACGCUAUUGAUGGGUGAAGGCAGAGUUCAGCUCCUAACAGUCCAUUGACUUGGACAACUUUUUUAUUUAAUGUGACCUCAAAUCAGGUAGGACUACCCGCUGAACUUAA